GCGACCCCAGGAUGGGCGAGGUCACCCGCUGAGUUUAAG
rnacentral:rRNA from 3 species